CCCUGAGUUCUGGUGCUGCAGCUUGAAGUCAGCAGAGCGGACAGGACAGGGAAUGGAGUGGGGGAAGACAGGACGUACUGAGCCAGCCUAGGUGGGAAGCCCCACAAGGGCAGGCAGGAAUCUUUCCCCUUCUUGCCGCCACCAAUCCUCCAGCUUUAAUGAGGCGGAUGUCCUUCAGAAGAAACUCACCCUGUAGCCGUACAGAAAAAAAGAAAGAGGCUCUAUCAAAUUCUUCGGGAACAUAAUCUUUCUCGAGCCGAUGUUAAAAUUCAAGGCGGUUGCUUGGGAAACGGUGAAAGAGGAAAAGAUUUCUUCACCAGCCACUUCUACAGAACAUGAUCAUGGCAAUGAACUCACACGCCACUUCUGCAUCCUGAGGUGUCCAGGAUGGCCUCAAGUCCAUGUUCAGGGCAGCUGUGGGAUGGGCAGAACCCAUCUUGGUGUUGCAGGGCAUGAACCCGCCUCUUCAUUCUCUGCCCAGACUGUGAAAGAUGACUCUGAUAGGACCAGAGUCAAGGUGAAGCAUGUGAAUGCUUUCUGUAAAAUAAAAAAGAAAGCAGGAAGAGAAAUCAACAUAUUAAAUACAGGCAAUUAAUCACGAGUGAAAAAAGUAAUCCUGAAGGAACCAGGAAUCCUUGGUGAAAUGACUGCUUCCGGCUUGAGGAAGAAAAUGUUCAAGAUACGUCUGCAACAUCCAGUCAUUCGAGAAAGCAAGAAGCUAGCAAAGACCACUGGAACUCAGGAGCCACUUUCAAGAGAC